AGUGAACGCUGGCGGUAGGCCUAACACAUGCAAGUCGAACGGCAGCACAGGAGAGCUUGCUCUCUGGGUGGCGAGUGGCGGACGGGUGAGGAAUACAUCGGAAUCUACUUUUUCGUGGGAGAUAACGUAGGGAAACUUACGCUAAUACCGCAUACGACCUACGGGUGAAAGCAGGGGAUCCUCGGACCUUGCGCGAUUGAAUGAGCCGAUGUCGGAUUAGCUAGUUGGCGGGGUAAAGGCCCACCAAGGCGACGAUCCGUAGCUGGUCUGAGAGGAUGAUCAGCCACACUGGAACUGAGACACGGUCCAGACUCCUACGGGAGGCAGCAGUGGGGAAUAUUGGACAAUGGGCGCAAGCCUGAUCCAGCCAUACCGCGUGGGUGAAGAAGGCCUUCGGGUUGUAAAGCCCUUUUGUUGGGAAAGAAAUCCAGCUGGUUAAUACCCGGUUGGGAUGACGGUACCCAAAGAAUAAGCACCGGCUAACUUCGUGCCAGCCGCCGCGGUAA
rnacentral:rRNA from 1 species